AAAACCUCUUCAUUUUUAAUCUCUCUCAUCCUCAUUCCAAAAUCUAGCCACCCUAGUUUCCUUCAAACCCUUGUGAUUGGCGGCCACACACCAAAUCCCUCCAAAAUCUUCACUCUACAACCCCCGGAUCUCCCAUAUAUCUAAUAUCCCAUCAAUUUUUCCGAAAUCCUUGCCAAAUCCCUCGAUUUUCAAAUCUGAAAAUUGUUUGAGCCCUAGCCGUUCUUUGUUGAGAUUUUUUUGGUCUUUUGAGUUUUAAAUUGUCAUCAGUCGAUUGCUUUGAUAAGAGCAAUUGACUGAUGUUAAUCUUAACUCAUUGCAUGAUCAUCCAAAUGAGGUCAAAAUGUCGCUCAAUCGUCAGUAAUUUUGUUUGAAUUUCUUCCAAGAAGGUAUUUUGCCAAUACCUUAUGAACUUAUGAAAUGAAUGAAGUUUUCAUGAUGGUAUGAUUGCUAGUAGUAAGUUGAGUUGCACUUUUUUUUUAAUGAAUUUCCCUUAUAAUGGGUUUGUAAUGUUUUAAGGCUUGAGACCUUUGCUGAUCUUUAUCCCCAUGAGCAUCCCUGAUUCAUUAUUUCUUUUUGUGCAAAUUAUUUUAGAUGAAAAUGAUCUAAAUCUAGCCUGCAUGUGGUGAUUUCCUUAUGUUUAAGUCAAAAAAAAGAGGAAAUUUAUCUAUUAGUUAUGGCUAAGUUGACAUGUAUUUUAUCUAAUGUGUAUUUAGUCCUUAGAGGAUCAGUAUCCUCAUUUUAUUGCUUUUCUUAUUGUAGAUUGCAAGGUUUUAUGCCACUUAUGAAGAAAUUGGGUUGAGUUUGUCUAGUAUAGAUUUCUUUAAUUUGAAGGUUAAGCCUUUAUUUGUAAUAUAAAACUUAAUGGAAUCUGUGAAAUUUUUAUCUAAUUAGUGAUAAUGUGAUAUUCAUGUU